ACCCGUCUAGCCUGGAGCGCUGGCCUUUUAAGCCAGUGGUCGUGGGUUCGAGCCCCACGGGGGGUG
rnacentral:tRNA from 1 species